UACAGGGGGUGCAAACGUUGCUCGGAAUCAUUGGGCGUAAAGCGCACGUAGGCGGUUCGUUAUGUCGGAUGUGAAAGCCCUUGGCUUAACCGAGGAAGUGCAUCCGAAACUGGCGAGCUAGAGUACGAAAGAGGAUCGCGGAAUUCCGGGUGGAGUGGUGAAAUGCGUAGAGAUCCGGAGGAACACCAAAGGCGAAGGCAGUGUCCUGGGGAGUACCUGACGCUCAGGUGCGAAAGCCAGGGGAGCGAACGGG
rnacentral:rRNA from 1 species